rnacentral:misc_RNA from 1 species
AAGUCGUAACAAGGUUUCCGUAGGUGAACCUGCGGAAGGAUCAUUAACAAAACGUUUUUCCAAACGUUUUUUUAUUCUUCUUUCACACUCUGUGCUGUCCCUUCUCCCUAUCAUUCUCUUAGAGAAUAAUAGGUUGAAUCUAAUCUCUGGUUCUCAACUUGGUUGAAAUUGGUUUGGUUUUUCCAACCAUCUCUUCUCAGUUGGAACUGCCAGAGAUUAACCCCAUUUUUUACACUUUUUUCACCUUCAAUACACAUUAACCAUUUCUGAUUCAACUUUGAUUGAAUCUGGUUUUAUUUUUUCUCAAAAAAAUAAAUCAAUAAUACAACUCUUAGCAAUGGAUAUCUAGGUUCUC